CUGAAAAUAAGAACCAACGGUACUCAUCUUUUCUCUGCUUCCCCUUCCCAGGCAGCUCAGUGUUUGUGGAGUGAGUCACUGACAGGGGCAGAAGCAGGGCUGCUACAUCCCCGUGAUCAAUGCACUAUGACACUGGAUCAUCAACAUAAAGUGAACACAGAAAAGGGAAAGAUGUCCCAGUGGAAAGAAGCAAAGAAGACGCCUUCUGCAAGGUGACGAGACUGCGGGACGUGGCUCUGUCCUCCGACACAGGAGCAGCGCCCUACAGAGAGACGGUUUACGAAGUACUUUCUCGGGCAAGAUUCUCUAAGGUGGUGGUAAAAUACUUUGUAGCCACGAAUCCCCCCCGCCCCCUUUUUUUCCCCUGUCAGCUGAGGUUCCUCUCAAGGAAACAUUCUCUUACGCUUUGAAAGUCAACACCAAAAAGCACAAGUGUAGGGGACGAUGUGGGCACCAAGGGACACACGCUCCUCCUGAAUCUAUGGGGAGUCUGUAGGGAUGGACACUGCCAGAGGAGGCAGUCAAGGGUCUUUAUUAACUAACCUGGGAGGAGUUAACAAUUAACCUUGUUUUCCACAUGGCUGCCAUUGCACCAGCAACACGGGGAGGAAAAGGAGGCCUACUGAAGCUGGUCAGUCACCAUCUAGUCAGACAACUGACGGCACCUGUAGAGCACAAGCAAUAUGCCAGCAUCAUGGGGGGUAUGAAGAUGCCACUGCCUUCAAGGAACCUACACCUGUGAAGGACCCUCAUGACAACGGAGUCCAGUUGCCCGGCCCGGGCCUGGGCCUCUCAUGCACCACAACCGAUGCGGCCCACGUAUCCGAAUGCUUCCGUGAUAAAUGCCUGCCCCUCCCACUUUGCCAGACAGGAAGUUCCACAGGAGCACCGGCCACACAUUGGGGUCUGUGCAUCACUGUACCCCCGGGGUCGAGCACACAGCAGGUCCUCAAGAGGGCUUAGAAGCAAUCGCCGUAGCAGAAAGAAUACAGAGGACGGCUAUGUUAGCCUCUGGCAAGUCGGCACUGACUCCUCACACCCCUUCAAAAGGCCUGGAGAGAACUCAAAUCCCACUUCCAGGAGCUCCUACCAGUCAAUGGCGGCUGAUAACAUUAUCAAGGGAUGGCCCCCAUAAAACGCCGUCUUGUCCUUCCUCUUAGAGGGACAGCUGACAGACUGCACAUUCGGAGUAGACUACAAGGGCCAAAGAGGCAAGCAAGUAAAAGCGCCCAAUGCUUUGUAUGGAACACAGUCCUUCUACAUUGGAGAGAAAUCCUUGCUGUAAUUAUGUCUAGAAGGAAAAUAAAUAUGAAUGAAGUAA